AGAGGCUGCAGGUAACAGAGUUGAACAAGGCAGAUGUGAUUCCUACCCCCACGGAGUUUAUUCUGAUGGAAGGAGACAGGAAGUCAACUAGUAAAGUCAUAAGAUAGUUUCAGACAGUGAGAAGUGGUUUAAAAGGAAGGUAACGUGCGAGGAAUGUGGAACCACUUUAGAUCGGAUAACCAGGGAAUAUCCCUCUGAGGAGGUGACGUGUCAGAUGAAACUUGAAGGACGUAGAGUCAGCCAUGGGAAGAUCUGAGGGAAGAGAACGUCAGGCAGCGGGAACAACAAGAGCAAAGGCCCUGCGGUGGAACACAGCUGCUGUCUCAAGAAAAAGAGAACAUUGAACGUCAUGAUGGAUUGUUAUAAAAGAGAGAGAGAGAGAAAGGGCUGAAGCACAGUGAAGGGAGAGGUCAUAGGCAGAGGCAGGGAUCACUCAGGAUUUUAUUCUGAGUGUGUUUUGUUCUGGGAGGCCAUUUGAGGGUUUCAAGCAGUGAAGUGAAGUGAUCUGAUUUCUGUGCUGGGAGACCUCCUGUGGCUUUGGGUUCCUGGUGCAGAUUGGACUCUGUUGGUGAAGGGCCAAGCAUGAAUGCUGAGCUCUGGGGAGGAUCUUAAGGCUGCAUCCAGAUGAGAGGUGAUGGGUUGGCUCCAGGCGGUGGAAGUGAAGAGGAGUGGACUUCAGUGGAGAUUGUAGUCUGCCACCUGGAUUCUCCUUCAGGACAGAGGCUCCAGGAUUCGCCUUCAGCCAAGGAGAAUCGCCUUGCCUAAGACUGCCUCCUCCAUAGGGGCAGGCCACCUCCAACGUCGGGUUGACAUGGGGGUCUAAGGACCCCAUUUCAUGGUCCUGAUGUAGGCAACUCAGAAGGGCUGUUCCAGCCUCUGAGCUCUGGUGAGGCCUCUGGUGUGCCUGCAUUCCAGCCCCACAUCACUGCCCCCCACACCACUCUACCCCCUUCACAGGUGCUGUGCGUGAGAGCACUCCCCAGUAAACCACCUGCGUGCCCAGCUCUCUGAGUCUGUUUCCCAGGGAACCCAAUCAAAGACGCUGAUCGAUCAGAAGAGCGGUACAAGUAGAACACACCACUCAGUGGCAAGUCCUUUCUCCACAGAUGAUGACUCAGGGAAGGUCCCAGAGCCUCUGGCAGGUCACAGAACCUCUGGCAGAGCUGAGGUGACCCCAAGCUCUCCUCUUCACAGCUCUGCUCCUCUUCCACCUGCAAACCAAGAGUCACAAUGGAAGGGCCCAAGGUCUGCAAAAACCAAAAGUGUGUCAGCAGGACGGGACACUGAAGAAGUGCCACUCUUAGUUGUGGGAGUCUUUGUGGCUUUGGUUGCAAUUACGUGGGAGUGUGCUUUUUAGUCUGACACUGUGCUGCUCUUAUAAUUGGAGGAUCAGGUCAUUGGCAUUCAAAUCAGUCCCUCCCGAGAGACACUGCCAGUCUAGUUUCUGGUGAAGAAACCGAGGCUCAGGGACCCCUGAGAGCAGAGGGAAGGGACGUCAUUCUGCAGAGUGACCAGCAGGGGGCGAGCGGGACUGCUCUGUGGCUCCGAGGACCCAGCGGCAGGUGCACUGCUCUGAGAGUGAACGCUGCCUUACAUUUUGCACGGUAAAGCACCAUGACUCAGAGAAGGCAAGUGACUUGCCUAAAAUCACAGGGCCCACAGAGUCACAGCCAGAAUGCAAGCCUGGGCCCUCAGAUCUGGAGUAUGCCCUCUUCACCAUGGCUCCAGGCACCAAAACUCCAGGUAGCUUUGGAUUUUGUGCUAUCUGUGUUUUAUUUUCCUUAAUAUAUAUUUUAAACGGAC
rnacentral:lncRNA from 1 species